CUACGGGCGGCUGCAGUGAGGAAUAUUGCACAAUGGGGGGAACCCUGAUGCAGCAACGCCGCGUGGAGGAUGACGCAUUUCGGUGUGUAAACUCCUUUUAUAUGUCAAGAAAAUGACGGUAGCAUAUGAAUAAGCACCGGCUAACUCCGUGCCAGCAGCCGCGGUAAUACGGAGGGUGCAAGCGUUACUCGGAAUCACUGGGCGUAAAGGACGCGUAGGCGGGUCGGAAAGUCAGGUGUGAAAUCCUACAGCUUAACUGUAGAACUGCACUUGAAACUUCUAAUCUAGAGUAUGGGAGGGGGAGAUGGAAUUAGUGGUGUAGGGGUAAAAUCCGUAGAUAUCACUAGGAAUACCUAAAGCGAAGGCGAUCUUCUGGAACAGUACUGACGCUGAGGCGCGAAAGCGUGGGGAGCAAACAGGAUUAGAUACCCUAGUAGUC
rnacentral:rRNA from 1 species